rnacentral:rRNA from 1 species
AGAGUUUGAUCAUGGCUCAGGAUGAACGCUAGCGGGAGGCCUAACACAUGCAAGCCGAGCGGUAUUGUUUCUUCGGAAAUGAGAGAGCGGCGUACGGGUGCGGAACACGUGUGCAACCUGCCUUUAUCUGGGGGAUAGCCUUUCGAAAGGAAGAUUAAUACUCCAUAAUAUAUUGAACGGCAUCGUUUAAUAUUGAAAGCUCCGGCGGAUAGAGAUGGGCACGCGCAAGAUUAGCUAGUUGGUGAGGUAACGGCUCACCAAGGCAAUGAUCUUUAGGGGCCUGAGAGGGUGAUCCCCCACACUGGUACUGAGACACGGACCAGACUCCUACGGGAGGCAGCAGUGAGGAAUAUUGGUCAAUGGGUGCAAGCCUGAACCAGCCAUCCCGCGUGAAGGACGACUGCCCUAUGGGUUGUAAACUUCUUUUGUAUAGGGAUAAACCUACUCUCGUGAGGGUAGCUGAAGGUACUAUACGAAUAAGCACCGGCUAACUCCGUG